AAGCGGCACACUUCUCCAGUACUAAAAGUUUGUCUGGAGCUUUUGUGUGAGACGUUCAGGAUGCUGGAUUCCUUAGAGAUCCUGGGCACUCAUACGGGAAUAUAAAGCACAUCCAGACCAGGCUUGGGAUGGUGCCAAGUGUGCAGAUGAAGCAAAUCGUAAUUGGAAAUGUGCAGGUGGGAAGUCCCCUGUUCAGGCAGGACUCAGAAACUGGGAUGUGAGCAGGGAGGUGGGGGUGAGCUGGGUCUCUGCCCCUCUAAGCAAAGCCCUCUCUGCCCCAUGCUGCAGGUGCUGGAGUGACCACCCAGGACAUCUGCAGCUCUCCAGGAUUGCAGGAGCAUGGAGGUGGGUCCCAAAAAUGAACGUGUCCUGGGGAAGGAGAUGGGAAGAGAGAAGGGGAUUAUUCCCUCACAAUUCCCCCUGGAAACCCCAAGACAGCAGACUCCUCCAGCCUUGGCAUGCAGUUGGUUUUGCCACCUGGCAGUCACUAACUCUUGCCUGGGGAAUCCCUCUGCCUUCUCUCCAGGUAACGACCAGACUCCAGUCCUGUACCUCAACGCUUCCAGUGCCAAGGAGGGGGAAAUAAUUCUCUUUCAGUGUGCCAUUGAUUGGCAGUUUCCUGCUACACGAGUUGUCUUCUGCAAGAAUGGGCAGGAGGAGUUCAGCCUGAAAGCCCAGCAGGGCAAAGUCGUCUAUGCUCUGGUCCUGAACAUCACCUCCAGAAGUGCUGGGAUGUACAAGUGUGGGUACCAGCAGAGGAAAGAGAGCAACUGGGUGAGGAACUCUGCUCUCAGUGCUCCCCAGACCUUGUCUGUGGCAGGUGCAGGUGCUGGUGAGACCACCCAGGACAUCCACAGCUCCCCAGGUGAGGACAAGCAUGAGGGUGUGCCAGCUGCACGGGCACGUCCUGCUCCCUGCCUCUCCCCAUCACACCCUGCUGCCCUCACACCCUCUGUCCCCCGGCUCCCCAUGCCUGGCUCCCGCACACCCUCCCCACAGCCAUGGUGCUUGCAGUGGUGCCUCUCAUCCUCAUCCUCCUGUCUGCAGGCAGCUGGUUUUCCAUCAGGAAAGCUGAGGGAGUGGGGGAAGGCAAGGGAAAGGCUGAGGCCGUGGGGGUCCUGCUGCGGGGCUGGUGCAGUGGGAAAGAUGGUGGGGGGAACCUGAGGGUGAACGGCUGGGGCAGACGGUGCCUGGGAGUGAUGGCUGUGGGCAGCCCAGCUGGGGAGGCUGCUGAGGGAGCUGGGGAGCUUCAGCCUUCAUCCCCCAGCCCCGAGAUGGGAGCCAGGACUGGGCAGCCUGUUUGUGCCAGGUGAGAUAUGGCCCAAGGUUGGUUUGAACAGAAGGGAUGGGGAUACUGCAGAAGCUGGAGCUGUGUGCUGCAGCAGGUAGGGCAUGGCUGUGGUGUAGAUCCCCCAUGGGAGUGUUCCCUCUCCUCUAAGGCAGCCGCUAGAGAAAGAGCUGCUCCCAGACGUGCCCCUUUCCCUCCUGCAGCACCUCUGCAGCAGAGAUAGGGCUGCAUCGGGCACUGAAAUUGAGAACAAGGGCUGGGGUUGUCUAUGGACCCUGGGGUGUUCCACUACCGCUCUAGGUUGUCCCUCUAACCUUUACAAAUCUGUGUCUGGGAACAUACAUGGAAAGGCUUGCUCAUGUUCCCUGUGUGCUCAAGGAAGCAAGACAUGAGCUCAGCAUAUCCUCAGCAUCUGGGAUUGUUCUAAAAUGGAGUUCAAGGGACUCACGGCAUGUUCAUGUCUCCCACAGGAAGCAGCCCCUCACACAAGGCCCAGCUCCCUUCCAGAGGUGAGACAUUGCUCAUCAGCCUUCCCAGCACAGCCGUCCUCCAAGGCUUGCCUUGGCCACACUGUGUUCCUCCUCUCUCCCAGGGUCAGCCAUACCCCUGGAGGUCUGGAUCCUGCGCUCUGCCCUCAGCCUUCUCCUGCUGCUGUCUGCCCCCAUCAUCACCCUCCUCCUGGAAAGAUGCAGCCACAGAGCCCACGAGGCCAGGCAGCCUGGAGACGUCCCUGUCCCCAUGGAGCUCUGAUGUCCCCCUGAGCUCCAUGCUGUCCCCAGCCUGCUCCCCCAUGCUCAGAGCACGACCCCCACCGUGGCCAGGCUCCCGCUGCCAUUGGGUUCAAGGCAGCUGUGACAGCAUGCCCAAGGGAUGUGC
rnacentral:lncRNA from 1 species